GGAUCAAUAUGUCGGUCGUGCUUCGGUACGUACUGGUAUCAUUGGUCUCUCCUUUCUGACGAACCAUGAUGUCAUUAAUUUGGUGUUAUGGGGAGUUAGGACUGUUACUUUGAAAAAAUUAGAGUGUUUAAAGCAGGCCUACGCCUGAAUACGUUAGCAUGGAAUAACGGAAUAGGACGUUUGAUUCUAUUUUGUUGGUUUCUAGGAUCGACGUA
rnacentral:rRNA from 1 species